rnacentral:lncRNA from 1 species
GAACAACAGAGGUAGACGAGACAUGGAGCCGCUGAGGCCUUGAUGUAGAUGAAUAAUAAUGAUCAUCGCAGGAUUUUGAAUAAGUUCAACUUGGCUUCUGCAUCAUCCCCAUGUGCUGGUUGUAGUGACAAUUACUGGAAGUUUAUCGUAAAAUAUUUAGGCCAUGGUGAUAUAGCUGUUGAUUUUCUGAGACGUCACAGUGUUCUACCAACUUCAAUGGAAUGUCCUAAAGGCAAAGUACAGUGUACUUUGAGGAAAGAUAAGCACGUUUGGUACUGUGGUCGUCGGAAAGCCAUAGCCAAGGCGAAGAAGAGGAACCAAUGUAAUUUCAGUAUCAGUGACUACAAGGGUACAUUCCUUCAAGGGACCCACCUAGAGCCUUGGAAAAUAGUGCUGUUUGUCAACCACUGGUACAGAAGACGUGGGACCACACUCUAAUCCCCAUUAUCAAGAAAUACAUCCUUCCAGGCAGUGAAAUUCACAGUGACGAUUGGGGAGCAUGUGACAGCUUGAAAAACGAAGGCUACAAACACUGUGUGAUUAACCAUCAUGAGAAUUUUGUGGACCCUGAAGACACAAGUAUUCACACACAGAAUAUUGAGCACCUAUGUAGAGACCUGAGUGAGUGGAUGAAGGGACCCGGACUUAGCCCUCACUACUUUAAACAGUAUUUCUCCCGUUACCUUUUCAUUCGCCAACAUCAAGACUCCCCUCAGCAUCACUUCUUUCUUCAAGCUGCACGCCUGUAUCCUCAUGGAUCUAAGACAGCUAGAAGAGCUCGCCAACAAAUUUGUGAUGAAGAAGAGGAGGGUUCUGAUUCUGAAUAUGGUGCUGAAUCAUGGCAAAUAUGACCUUGUUAAAGAAAGCUCUCCCAUUACUACUACCAAAGCACUCCCUAAGAUGUCCAGUGUCAUACAACUUGCAGAGAGUCCCACACAUUUCCUUUAAACAAGUUAUCAGAGCAGAGUGGUUUCAUCACAGUACAUUUGUGGAACAAAGGAAUGCCACACCACAGUGCUCAAGAACCAUUAUAAAGGGACAGACACUACAACAGUUAUGUUUUCAAAAUCCUGCAAGUAAAAUCCACAACCGAACUUUCUUUUCAUUUCGUAAACGUAAGACGAUUCAGGAAAUACAAAAGAUUGAUAAUGUAGACUCUCAUUAUGAAUUAGUAUAUUCCGGUAACUCUAUUUCAUAUUUACAACUAGGACUUGGUGGGGUACAGUUAGCCAGUGCAGCUGUAACUGCGGUCUUAUGUUCGACUUUAUCCGUUACACCAAUCAUUAACUUUGAUAUCGUUAUGGAAUCGCCUUUAGAAACAAGUGUAUUUAUAGCUGUUAAUGCUUUGAUAUGCAUUGGAAUUUUCACAAUGGCACGUCGGUAUCCAUUUCGUAUAUAUUACAGUGAAUUAGAGGACCAGUUCAUUGCAGUAUUUGUUGGUAUCCAUCCAUUGACCACACGCUCAUUAAAGAUAAAGCCAGGGGAAGUGCAGCCUGUAUUACCAAGUAAAAUAGCGAAAGAAACUAUACCAUGGGCACCCAAUAUGUAUGCUGUAUCUUCCCAGCAAAUAUACCUUGAUACAGAGUGUUUCACAUACCCAGUGUUUUACAAUAAAUUGCUUGGGUACAAUUGAAAAUAUUGUGUAGUAGAGAAACUAAAACCUUUUCUCCAAAUACAUUUUCAUUUCUUACCAAUUUGCCAUUGUUCUGAUAAUUAUGGUAUAUAAAUUUUACCCAUUGUAUCUAAAUUAAACACUAUUUUUAAAUGCUGUAUAAAAUUUUUUGGAGAAAACUGUGAAAAGCUGUAAAUAUUAUUCUCCAAGGUAACCUUAAUAAAGCUUACCUAUUCAGUGUUUUCAUAAUCUUGGUUUUACUUCCACAUCCAGAUGACUGUAGAAUAUGUUGUAAAAUGUCCAAGGAUA